rnacentral:misc_RNA from 1 species
UUUCCGUAGGUGAACCUGCGGAAGGAUCAUUAAUGGGAAAUCAAAUCAAAUCAAAACAAAUGUUCUGUUGCACUGGGUGUGCUGUGUGGUGGUGGUGUGAGACAUGGAGAUUCAAUCAUUGGAGAUUCAAUCAUUGGAGAUUCAAUCAUUGGAGAUUCAAUCAUUGGAGAUUCAAUCAUUCAAUCUCAAUCAUUGGAGAUUCAAUCAUUCAAUCUCAAUCAUUCAAUCUCAAUCAUUCAAUCUCAAUCAUCGCCACACAACACAACUAUCUAUCACACUCGAUCAACAACAACACACUCACACACAACAGCAAACAACUUUUAACAAUGGAUCUCUUGGCUCUU